GAUCUAGUGGAAACAUUUCUGCACAACUAGAAUAUUCAAACUGGUUUGAGAAAUGCUUCUGUAACAAU
rnacentral:pre_miRNA from 1 species